rnacentral:rRNA from 1 species
UGGGGAAUAUUGGACAAUGGGCGCAAGCCUGAUCCAGCCAUGCCGCGUGCAGGAUGACGGUCCUAUGGAUUGUAAACUGCUUUUUGUACAGGAAGAAACAGUUCUACGUGUAGAACCUUGACGGUACUGUAAGAAUAAGGAUCGGCUAACUCCGUGCCAGCAGCCGCGGUAAUACGGAGGAUCCAAGCGUUAUCCGGAAUCAUUGGGUUUAAAGGUCCGUAGGCGGUUAGAUAAGUCAGUGGUGAAAGCCCAUCGCUCAACGGUGGAACGGCCAUUGAUACUGUCUGACUUGAAUUAUUAGGAAGUAACUAGAAUAUGUAGUGUAGCGGUGAAAUGCUUAGAGAUUACAUGGAAUCCAAUUGCGAAGGCAGGUUACUACUAAUG